AUUGAACGCUGGCGGCAGGCCUAACACAUGCGAGUCGAGCGGAUGAAGGGAGCUUGCUCCUGGAUUCAGCGGCGGACGGGUGAGUAAUGCCUAGGAAUCUGCCUGGUAGUGGGGGAUAACGUCCGGAAACGGGCGCUAAUACCGCAUACGUCCUGAUGGUGAAAGUGGGGGAUCUUCGGACCUCACGCUAUCAUAUGAGCCUAGGUCGGAUUAGCUAGUUGGUGGGGUAAAGGCCUACCAAGGCGACGAUCCGUAACUGGUCUGAGAGGAUGAUCAGUCACACUGGAACUGAGACACGGUCCAGACUCCUACGGGAGGCAGCAGUGGGGAAUAUUGGACAAUGGGCGAAAGCCUGAUCCAGCCAUGCCGCGUGUGUGAAGAAGGUCUUCGGAUUGUAAAGCACUUUAAGUUGGGAGGAAGGGCAGUAAGUUAAUACCUUGCUGUUUUGACGUUACCAACAGAAUAAGCACCGGCUAACUUCGUG
rnacentral:rRNA from 1 species